rnacentral:tRNA from 2 species
GCCGGGAUAGCUCAGUUGGKAGAGCAGGGGACUGAAAAUCCUCGUGU